rnacentral:rRNA from 1 species
AUCGAACGCUGGCGGCAGGCCUAAUACAUGCAAGUCGAACGAGUGGCGGACGGGUGAGUAAUGUCUGGGAACCUGCCUGAUGGAGGGGGCUAACUACUGGAAACGGUAGCUAAUACCGCAUACCAUCAGAUGUGCCCAGAUGGGAGUAGCUGGUUGGUGGUGUAACGGCUCACCAAGGCGACGAGCCCUAGCUGGUCUGAGAGGAUGACCAGCCACACUGGAACUGAGACACGGUCCAGACUCCUACGGGAGGCAGCAGUGGGGAAUAUUGCGCAAUGGGCGCAAGCCUGAUGCAGCCAUGCCGCGUGGAUGAAGAAGGCCUUCGGGUUGUAAAGUACUUUCAGCGGGGAGGCGUUACCCGCAUAAGAAGCACCGGCUAACUCCGUGCCAGCCGCCGCGGUAAUAC